rnacentral:rRNA from 1 species
UACAGAGGGUGCGAGCGUUAAUCGGAAUUACUGGGCGUAAAGCGUCUGUAGGUGGCUUUUUAAGUCCGCCGUCAAAUCCCAGGGCUCAACUCUGGACAGGCGGUGGAAACUACCAAGCUGGAGUACGGUAGGGGCAGAGGGAAUUUCCGGUGGAGCGGUGAAAUGCGUAGAGAUCGGAAAGAGCACCAACGGCGAAAGCACUCUGCUGGGCCGACACUGACACUGAGAGACGAAAGCUAGGGGAGCGAAUGGG